CCCAGGUCUGCGGAAGUGAAAUGGCAAGGGUCCUGUCCUAGAGGGUUAACAGAAGUAAUUACAGAUUAAUGAAGUAGCAUUCUCCUGACAGGCAGCCAUCGAUGUCCAGGUUCACCCUGCAUCCCUUCUCUACAGCAACUCCAGAUGCUCUGCUUUUGGUAUAUUAAGAACACAAAAAAAUGAGUGGGAAUACACGGCUCAUAUUCUGCUCCUGGAAUCACAGCCACUCCUGGCAAAACAUUCUGCAGCCAGACCCUCACUGUGCCUCCUCUGCUCCUCUCCCUGAGAAAGGAGUCUUCCCUCUUGAAGUGUUGUCAAAGGCCUCGGAGACCUCUGGGGAGUGGAGGAUGCCUGGAAUCUUGCAGGGGAAUGAGAGUCUUCUGUGAAGAACGAGUUACUUGUGGUGAAUGUCUACAAAGCUCAGAUGUGUUCAUCUUAAUUCAUAGGGAAUUCUGACUUUAAGCAUACUACAGGGCACAGAGUCAUUAUGUGCAAUGGAAAAAAAGAGGGAGAAAUUCCCAUAACAGAUUUCAUGCAAGUGUUUUGGUAUAAAACUGGUAUGUGUCAUGAGACUCUAUCAGCUCUAACAGUGACUGGGGACACAACCAGAAACUGCUCAUAGAAACACAACUGAAGGACACAGUGUUCAAAUUGUUUUUACCUAAGGUAUAGCUGGAGGAUUCCAGACAAGUCAUUUACCAACAAAGACAGAAAGGUGAUGAGUGAUGACGUUGGCUUUCUCUAGGACCACUCUAAAUGGCACAGGGCACAUAAUAGAAAGUUGGAGUCAUGAUGUCGUUUCUAACAGGUUCAUCUCCUAGCCAGAAUCAAGAAAGGAAGACACAGCAGCCACACUGUUCCCACAGAGGUGAGGUCUGGAAGGGAUCACCCAGGCCGGGAGACCUCUGUUUGGAGUGUGCAGUCAUCCUCCUCUCAUUAUUUCCUGAAACUCACAGAAAAACCUUAAGGCAGCCUCUUUGCUUCCAUCCCUUCCAGUCUUGGAUACAGAAAAAUAAUGGACUUCUAUAAGAGUUGCAACACCACGUCGUCUACUAGACAACAAACAGUGCAGGCGUCAUCCCUGGAAACACCCAUAAAAACGCAAGUCAAAUGACCACACCUGUAUUUCAAGGUUGCAAAGACGAGGGCCAUGAAAUGGCACUACCACAUUGAUGGGUAUGAUUCAUUGUACGACACACUGCUUUCCUACAGAUUAUGACAAUUGACACCACCCCCGAGGAAUGUUAGCAUGGACAAAGUUUCCAC